rnacentral:rRNA from 1 species
UACGUAGGGGGCAAGCGUUAUCCGGAGUUACUGGGUGUAAAGGGAGCGUAGACGGCAAAGCAAGUCCGGAGUGAAAGCCCGGGGCCCAACCCCGGGACUGCUCUGGAAACUGUUAAGCUGGAGUGCGGGAGGGGCAGGCGGAAUUCCUGGUGUAGCGGUGAAAUGCGUAGAUACCAGGAGGAACACCGGCGGCGAAGGCGGCCUGCUGGACCGUGACUGACGUUGAGGCUCGAAAGCGUGGGGAGCAAACAGG